CCUACGGGGGGCAGCAGUGGGGAAUAUUGGGCAAUGGGCGCAAGCCUGACCCAGCAACGCCGCGUGAAGGAAGAAGGCUUUCGGGUUGUAAACUUCUUUUAUCAGGGACGAAGCAAGUGACGGUACCUGAUGAAUAAGCCACGGCUAACUACGUGCCAGCAGCCGCGGUAAUACGGAGGUGGCAAGCGUUAUCCGGAUUUACUGGGUGUAAAGGGCGUGUAGGCGGGAAAGCAAGUCAGAUGUGAAAACGAUGGGCUAAACCUGUGGCCUGCAUUUGAAACUGUUUUUCUUGAGUACUGGAGAGGCAGACGGAAUGUCUAGUGUAGCGGUGAAAUGCGUAGAUAUCAGGAGGAACACCGGUGGCGAAGGCGGGCUGCUGGACUGCAACUGACGUUGAGGCCCGAAAGCGUGGGGAGCAAACAGGAUUAGAUACCCUAGUAGUC
rnacentral:rRNA from 1 species